rfam:Clostridium sp. CAG:762 genomic scaffold, scf93
ACAAAGCCAUUGCGAGGAAGAGUAAAAAAUAUAAAGCAUUUUAGAGAACUCUGUUAGGUGAAAAAGAGGAUGUAAGUAUUUUUUGAACAUGGCCCUCAAGGCGAAUGACUGAAAGACUCUUAGUAAGUCAUUACGGGAAUGCCCGUUAUAGCAGAUACCUAUAACUAUGCAAAAGACAUAAGUAGGUUAGUGAGUUUAAUACAGUAAUGUAUUAAUAAAUAAGAGUGGUAACGUGAAUAUAUUCACCUCUUAG